rfam:Eutrema salsugineum unplaced genomic scaffold scaffold_19, whole genome shotgun sequence.
UCGCUGUGAGGAUAAAAGCACCUGUGAUGAUUGGGUUCAUCACGACCGUCUGUUCUUACAGAUGAUGUGGUGCGCAUCUGAGCGU